rnacentral:lncRNA from 1 species
CUAGAGCCACAUUUAUUUCUAUUUUUCUCUUUUUUUUUUUACACACCAUGCACUUGAGAAUUCAAAUCUAAUCCAAAAGAGGAAAAGAAUUUUUUUCAAAAAGGAAAACUCAAAAAAUUAAUGUUCAUUUUUCAAGAGAAACUCUUCAAGUUUAAGCUUUCAUGCCUGAUCCAAUAUGGACUUUUCAAAGGUUGUAAUGUAGGUUAAGGUUCAUGGUCGCCAAAGAAAAGGAUAAAAAGGCCCAAAACAACUAUUUAAGGGUAUUUGAAACUAAGGAUCAUUUUUCAUUGGAAGGAUACACUCUAAGGUAUAUUCUAUUUUGUGCUUUCCACCAAUUCAUUUCUUUCCCUUUUUUUUUUAUUCUUCCUUUCCUUUUUUUUUACACCCUUUCACUGAGUGGAUUCAAAACUUUUAUGAACUUUUAUACUGGGUUUGUGCCCCUAUCACAUGAGAUUCCAUUAGACAUUCUCAUUCUUAUCCUUCAAACGUAUUUCUUUUUUUUUGUUUUUUUUUUCACAAAUAUGAAAAGUGAUCCUUAGUCAGGGUUUAUUUUGAAAGAAUUCAAUCAAGCUCAAAGGGGUAACAAGAGAUAAAUUUUUAUUUUUGUGAAGAGAUAAUGAAAGAUGGCCAUUUGUCACUUCAAGCAUAAACACUUAAAUUGAAGACUACUCUUCAGGAAAAUGAACUUGGAAAAAGGUUUUUUUCUUUUUAAUCUCAAAAAAAAUUUUUUGUUUUUUUUUUUUCAAAACCUUGACUUUGUCAUAACCUUUUUUGGAUUUGCUCAAAUUUUUUAGUGCAUGAUGUCAUAACCAAUUUUUUCUUCUUUUUUUUCUCUUUUUUUGUUGUUUUUAUUUUUUUUAUGCCCCAUAGUUCACACCUAGAUUCAUUUUGCCAGUAACACGUUUCAUGAAAGAUGUCCCAUUUUAGCAAACCACCCAUAAUGAAAGUAAUUACAAAAGAAGGGUCAUAUGAAAUGGAUAAGAAAAAGAUUAUGUGGGGUAAACAUGUUUAAGGUAUCAAAUGAUCUAAGUUACUCCACAAAAAGAGAACAAAAGGGUUAAUCAUAACUCAAGUUGCCUUAGAGGUAAUGAGAUAUUUCUUUUCUGACAAAUAUACCUCAAGACAAAGGAUCGGGUUAAUUUUGGGAUAAAAAAACUGAAAUGGUAGUAUGCUUAAGUGUAUUUUGGAUUUGAAAAUUUUGGAACUGCAGCAUAAUCUUAUCAUAUUCAAUUAUCGCAUUUGAAUUCUAAAAAAAAAAGUCAUAUAGACUUGAUUUUCUAGGAACCACACAUUUGUUAAUGGCUGUUUCAUUUGUUCAUUGCCUUAGAAAAGAAUAUUGCCAACAAUAUCAGGUGAAAAUAAGGUUCACAAAUUUGAAUUUAAGGCUAUCAAGGGGUCAUGACUGAUGAAAUGGGGUCAACUGAAUGAGCAAAUUGGCAUUUAGGUAUUUGG